rnacentral:rRNA from 1 species
CUCGUAGGUGGCCAACUAAGUCAGACGUGAAAUCCCUCGGCUUAACCGGGGAACUGCGUCUGAUACUGGAUGGCUUGAGUUUGGGAGAGGGAUGCGGAAUUCCAGGUGUAGCGGUGAAAUGCGUAGAUAUCUGGAGGAACACCGGUGGCGAAGGCGGCAUCCUGGACCAAUACUGACACUGAGGAGCGAAAGCCAGGGAGCAAACG